AUCUUUUCGUAACAAAGCCUGAAUUUACAUCAGGUGGAGAACAAUUAAAAAAAAAAAAAAAAUGACUAUGAAUAAUGAUUAGCUAUCAAUUUAUGUUUCAAAUGAGAAAAAAGUAUAUUACAUGAACAUAAGUUUUACACACUAUAUGGAACCAUGAUUUUCUAUAACAAUUUUCAAUAAAAAAACUGACAAUAAAAUCAGUAUUUCAUAAAUUAUAGAUAAUGACACAGACAACCUUGUUUAGCCACACUAGGCAGAGAUAAUACUUACAUUAUAAGCUCUCCAAAAUCAGGUUAUUGAGGGACUAUAAUAAGCAAAUAUUUUUCACAUAAAGUUAAUGAAAUGUGUACAUGAUUACCAAAACUAUUAGCAGUUAAGACUCAAGCUUUGGCCAUUUCUACAGUAAAACAGUAAAUCUGCAUCACUUAAGCAAUUGCUAAAUUGAUAUGUUAAAUCUUCCCAACAUCAUUGUGUACCUUUAGGAACUUUACAAAGCAGACUAAUGUAAAACAAUAUAGCUAAUAACUAGCAGCUGUAAGUUUCAUUAAGUAUUUUAACAUAUAUAUGUAUAUUACACACUUUUAACAUUUAACUUUUCAGGGAAUGAAUCAGUCAAACCUGAAGAAAUCCACUGUUCUACCAAUUUUGGUAAAGGAGUACAAUUAGUAAAGAAGUGAUACUGUGUCUGGGAUCCCAGAUUAGGCCCCCUAAGUUUCAAAGUAUACAGUGGAUCUAUUAUUAUUUGUUGGGUACUGGUUUUUGUUUAAAUUGUUAGAAGAAGCAAACCACAAAUUCAAAUAUUCAAUGAAGUAUGAAUUUCCUAUCAGCUGGGUAUGGAAACUUUUCCAAAGACACAAAAUCAAGUAUCAAAGACAAUUGGUCCCACAAAAAUAGACGAAUCUACAGUAAUGUAACUUUUUGCCCAUAUUCUUAACACUAAAUAAAGUCUAUUGCAAAAUUGUCCUUCAUAGAAGGUUUUACUCUUACUUGACAUGGAUGUACACAUUACAAUGUUGUAACAAUCUCAAUGGUUUUUUUAUGUAUAUACAUGAAAACAAUAAACACUAAUGCUUAACAGUACUUCACUAAUCUUCAGUUAGGACUUAUGUAUUCUCAUAUAUGCAUUCCUGUGUAAUGCAAAACAGAUUACAAUAGUUUGUGACCAAUUUGAGCCAGGUAGGCUAAAACAGAGACAAAAAGUCAACUAUCAAAAAAGUAACAAAACAACCAUAACAUGGAAUAAUUGUGUCUUUUCUUAGACUUAAAUUAAAAAAUUUAUACUGUGGAAUCGUGUGGAUUCAAUAUUUUUCUUAAGAUCACAUUUAAAGAAAAAAAUUGUGGAUAAAUAUAAACGACAAAUUUAAAGCUUUAACACAGCAAACAUUUCUAUAUGCUGGUAUAAAGACUAGUUGGCAAAACCCUGAAAUCAAAUACCCAAAAUUAAAAAAAUUCCACAAUCCACAAUAUUACAUGUAGUUGGUACAUGUAUCCACAAAUAUAAAGCGAAUCUACAAAUAUAAGCAAAUCCACAGUAUAUAAAAAUAAGUCUAUCCUAUUUACAAUAUAGUAAUUCAUUAUGUACAUUUUGGAAAAUUUGAACAAUAAAUUUAGCUUUAAGCAUGGGUUAGUCUCUAAGGUAGGUUCCAUAUCAAGCUUUAGAAAUAGUACGGGACUACUUUAACUUUAGCCCAACCCUUACCUUUCUAAAAUAAACCUUACCCUUGCCCAAUUCUUCAUCACAACGUUUAACCUUUUAAAAAAACUUGCCGUGGAUAACAAUCUCAUUUACAAUAUGUUUUAAAUCCUACACAAUAUUAUUCAGUCCAGCAAAUUAUCAUAUCUUAAUUUAAACUACGGAGAUCAUUUUUUUUUCUCAAAGAUUUACUUGUAAAAAAGUUGCAUGAAUUGUUUAUUAUCACUCAUAAUUAAUAGUACAGAUACAAAAAAUAUUUGAUCGAUGAACAACAUAAGUAAAGCUUUACUAAACAUAACAAAACAAGUUAAGUAUUGACAAAAAGUAACAUAACAAUUAACAUUUGAAAGAACUUUUCAUAAUAACCAUUUACACUAAGCAAAAAUCCUCACCGUUUCUAACACCAUAGUAAAGCUGUUCAUUAAUUUAGACAUCUUGUUGAAUAAUCAUAAUGAUAGUAUAACACAGUAUUGGCCUUGUUGUUUGAAGGCACUGUUCACCAUAUUCAUUCAUCAUAAAAUAUAAUUUUUAGUUGUUUCACAAAAUGCUUCCUAAUAACCAUUCUCAACCAUAAAAACUUAAACCUAUUUACACACUGGAUUUUGUCCCUUUUUUAACAUGUCUAUAUUUCUAACCGAAAGCAUAAAAUAUUGAAGCAUAAUAGCAUUUGGUAGGCACAUGGCAAUAACAGAUCUACAUCUUGAGUUAUUCUACAAAAUUUGACUAAAGGAGUUUUAUAAAGGAUGGAGUGGCGACAGCCAACAAGUCAUAGAAACAGCUUGUAUACAGUCACCCUGGAAUAUAUUGGAUGUUUGAUGUCAACUUACAAUAAAAUAGACAUAAGCAAGUUGACAAUGUUCACUCAUGCAAUAUUCAGUUUUGACAACAUAUACCAC
rnacentral:lncRNA from 1 species